CACCUGAAGAUUCAUGACCAGGAAUAGUCUCAUUUUUUGGUAAACAAAUUAAAAAAAAAAAGAUUCAUCUUCUUACAAAUAUUAAGUAGACUGCGAAGUAGUUACCCCAAAUAAGACCCAACCCUUCCGCAAACAUUGCAUGGUUUCUGAUGAACAUCCAAAUGGUAACUGGCUGUCUUGAUGGCCGUUUGGUACCUUUAUCCUCAGCGGCCGCGCUGGGCGCGAGCAGCGGGAGUGGGGACCUUUGGGGGCCAAGUGUCCACCACCCACCGGCCUCGUCCCAGUGACUUCUCCGUCUCCUCUCGCGCCCAGCCCCGGGGCCUGGGCGGCAGCGUUCGCCAAAGCUGCGGGAUGCGCGCAAGCCCCAGCGGAGACCCUGCACAACGAAAAAUUCAUUUUCAAGCUGCCCACCAAGGAUUAAAAAGACCUUAGGCUCCGUGGCCAACCUGCAAACGGCCAUCGCAGACCGUGAAGGGCUUGGAGGAAAAAGCGAAGGGGUUCACGGUGCUGGGGUACAGCCCGGGCGAGAAGCCACCGCGCGGGGGGUGUGCACACAGAGGAGGCCCAGAAUGCUGAAACUCACACGUAACGUGCCUUGCCUCGUAGGUAACAGCAGGCCUUCUAGAACAGCCUAGCCCAAACAGGACUGUGCACUCCUUCACCGGGGAACAGAGGCUUCCCAGGGGUGAGGGCGGCGCGCGGGGGCGCGGGCGCGCUCCGCACGCACCCGAGGCCGGUGCGCGCCUCCCUCCGCGGCCACUUUGGAGCCCAGCACAUUACUCCAGCUCUGACAACCUGCUAACUGAUCGUUUGAAAGGAUUACAAGGGCACGCGGUUGCAACCGAGGUGAACACCACUCGGAAGAAAAUACAAGUCCUGUCACCUGACUGGCUUCAUGUUGGAAGUCAGCGCGCAGAAGAAGCCUCAUCCAUGAAAGUGCUAGGGACUCGGUGCCCUCACUGUACCAGUUGAAGACAGAGACAUUGGCCUUCCCAACAGAAUGAUUCAUCGUCGGGGAAAGGGGGUCCCGUUUCCCCAGGAGAAAGAGGGCGCAGGGGUAAGAAAUGCCUGGAUGACAUCACAGCAGCCAGGCCCUACCCAUUCCCCGUGUGCCUACGCAGCCUUCCCUAGAAAGAGCGCUUCAGGACCGGCAGAAACAGUCAUGAGGAGAUGCAAAGCAAACGCACAGAACAAGAAUUAGCUCAGAGACGGAGUUCAAACGCAGAAGAGCUACGGUCCAGAGGGGGCAGGACAGAGAAGGGAUGGAGAGCAUUACCACGUACUGUGAGGACAGGAAUUGGGCUCCUCUGACUCCCUCCCUACUGAACUGUGGUCAUCCUAUGGGCUUUGUAACAGCCUUAAGGAAGAAUGUUCUCUUUCUUCUGGUUGGACAUAAAGGGUAUUUCUACUGAAAGCUGGAGCAUGAAGGGUCUGUCUAGGUGACUGGAUUUUCCUGGAGGACACUGGGAUCUGGGAAACGUCUAAGACUCAUCUGGAACUGGUGUAUCUGGGGUGAGAUAAGGAGCAUGUGAGGUGGAGAAACAGAUUUUUUUGAGAAGGGAUUGCUUGAACCAAAUCUUCGAAGAUGGCUAGAUGCUCACCAAGUUGGCAGGCUGGGGGUACAGGAUAUGGGACCGGCGAAGGCAUAUCAUAGAUGAGAUAUAGAAGAUAUAAGGUUUUUUACAUUUUUUAAGAGAAGCCAGAGUGAUAGAUUUUUAUGCAAGCUCUUUUGAUUUUUCAUUGGCAUCCACUAAUUCAAAUUUCUAGAACAUUCUAUGUUCUAUACCAGCUAUGUUGGCAGAUGAAACAUAUCUGCAGGCUUUUGGAUCUGACCUCUGGACUAGGCAUCAUGCCAAGUUACUGAGGCACCGAAGGCUUGGACUCAUUCAUUUUAGUGCCCUCAGCUGGGGAUGGUCUUUAGUAGGCAUCUACAAAUGUCACUAAUUGGAAUCAAAGGCAGUUGUGUGCUGGGAAUCAAUGGCUCCUUGUACAUUCGUUUCCAGAAAUUCUUCUGGUGCUGGAAUGUGCCACUGCCAGCCACCAUUUGCUUUUUGUGCUGGAACUAACUGGAAAGCCCAAAGGAGGAAAAGGAAAGAGCAGAGCUCGAUUCUGCCCUCUCAGGUCAAAGCCUGGGGUGUCCCAGAUUCCUAAACUCCAUUGAUUCUCCGUGACAGCUCCUUCCCCUCGCCCCCAAACCUACUUCAUUUGGUAGUAACCAUUGCCUACCAAGAAGCAUCUUCUCAGAGACAGAACAAAACAAGAUAUGUUUCAAUGCCCUCCUUUUGGGAUGUGGGACAGUCACUAGAAUUUAUUGAGCACAGAGAAGUGGAGGCCCCUGGAGCCUUCAGCCCUGAAACUUGUGUAGGGAUAAAAGGUGGAGAAAACAGGGCCAAAGGCCUGUGAGACCCUAAGGCCCUAAGCACCGGAUGGGACAGGACCUCCCUGUGUGAGUCCCAAAUGUAGAACCAGUUUUCUGGGGGAACUUCUGCCACCUAUUGUCCAUGAAGGGAGAGACACCAUUCUGAGUUCUAAGGGCCGAAGACUCAGCCUAUCUUUCUCCAUAUGGUACCUAAACUCUGACCACAGGCUAGGAGAGCUGGGCCUUCCUGCUCUGAGGUUCCAGUUCCCCGCCUCCUCGCCUCCUGCACUCUACUCUGAGGGAAGGGGCAGGUGUUGUCUACUUCUGAAUCCUGGACGCCCAGGAGGGCACCUGGCCUUCAGAAAGACAACGAGAACGGGUUACUGUUAAGUGCUAAGUGGUUAAUGAUUCAAGAAGUUAGUUUCUGUAAACUGUUCAGUGUCUGGCACAUAGCAAGAGCUCAGUGAAUCGACGCUAUUCAGCUUUUUAAACAGGUCCAGUUGAGGUACAACUGAUGAAGGUUAGGCUGCACACAUUUAAAGCGUACAUUUUGAUGAGUUUUGACAUAUGUGCAUGGCUGUGAAACCCUCACCACAAUCAAAAUAAUAAAUACAUUCCCUCUAAAAGUUUGCUUGUGCCCUUUUGGAAUCCAACCUCUUCUCUUCUCCAAAAGAUACUCCCCAGUCAAGCAACCAGUAAUAGUCUUUCUGUCACUGUGGAUUAAUUCACAUUUUCUAGAAUUUUCUACAAAGGAAAUCAUACAGUGUGUACU